rnacentral:lncRNA from 1 species
UGUGAAAGCAGUGGCAACCAGAAGGAGAAGUGUGACCAGAUACUUGGCAUGUUUGAGAGCAACAAAUGCCUUGAAAAUGCUAUUUGGUCUCAAAUGCACCAGAAGCUGACAGGUCUGGAAAGACAGAAAGACUUAUAUUAUUCAUCUUCCCUAAAUUUCCAAGGAGACAGUGCCAGCACAUCUCUUGCUUCAGAAAUGUCCCAGGUGGCUGAAGUGAAGACACAGCAAGACACCUCUGAACACAGCAGUUUGCCUAUGGCCUCCUCUGUAUAUUCUGGAGCUGCUAUUUCUUGGCCAUCUCUGUCUCUAUUCCUUCCCCUGUUGCUGAGCCCACUUUAACUUGGCAUAAGUGACAUCUUUCCUUCCCAUAUUAUUAAUCUUAUCCCAUAUCCAGGCACCUCCCACUACUGAUUUACCCUCAAGAAACAAAAAGCCUCUAUAAAAGAGGAAGGGAACAGCCUUAGAUAACUGCAGUCACCGAAAACCUCUCCCUGACUUGUGCCCCUCUUUCCUCCAGUCAGUCUGCUCUGAGAUGCAGAUUUGGUACCCACCAUUGCUUCUGCCACAUUUAGCAUUUUGAGUGACAGUCAGGCUCAUAUUCAACCACAGUAUUUUAAAACAAGUCUGCAUUCUGUCAGAACUUGUGUGGGGUUCUGUUUCUAACUAGAGGGAUGCACAUGACACUGUUUCCUACCACCCUACCUGUCUGAGCUCUUCCAUAGGCAUAGAGUACAUACAACAUACCAUCCUUAAGUGUCAGGUCCUGCACUUUGGCCACAACAACCCCAGGAAACACUACAGGCUUGGGGCUGGAAGACUGCCUGGAAGAAAUGGAUCUGGGGGUGUUGAUGGAUGCUUGGCUAAACAUGAGCCAGCAGUAUGCCCAGGCAGCCAAGAAGACCAAUGGUGUCCUGGCUAGUGUAAGAAAUAGCAUUGCCAGCAGGGGCAGAGAAGUGAUAUGCCCUGUAUUCAGCUCUGGUGAAGCUGCACCUUAGGUACCGUGUUCAGUUUUUGGCCAUUCACUACAGGAAAGACAUUGAGGCCUUGGAGUGUGUCCAGAGG